rnacentral:rRNA from 1 species
AGUGAACGCUGGCGGUAGGCCUAACACAUGCAAGUCGAACGGCAGCACAGUAAGAGCUUGCUCUUACGGGUGGCGAGUGGCGGACGGGUGAGGAAUACAUCGGAAUCUACUUUUUCGUGGGGGAUAACGUAGGGAAACUUACGCUAAUACCGCAUACGACCUACGGGUGAAAGCAGGGGAUCUUCGGACCUUGCGCGAUUGAAUGAGCCGAUGUCGGAUUAGCUAGUUGGCGGGGUAAAGGCCCACCAAGGCGACGAUCCGUAGCUGGUCUGAGAGGAUGAUCAGCCACACUGGAACUGAGACACGGACCAGACUCCUACGGGAGGCAGCAGUGGGGAAUAUUGGACAAUGGGCGCAAGCCUGAUCCAGCCAUACCGCGUGGGUGAAGGAGGCCUUCGGGUUGUAAAGCCCUUUUGUUGGGAAAGAAAAGCAGCAGGUUAAUACCCCGCUGUUCUGACGGUACCCAAAGAAUAAGCACCGGCUAACUUCGUG